AGAUGAUGCUAAGUGCCAGGGGUUCAGACCAGUCCUCCUCUAUCAGGGAUGGUCAUCCUCUUCGACCAAGCACGCAGCUUCGGGAGGGAUGCACAUGGAGCGGUGAGGGAGGAAGGGGACACCCGCCUAGCCAGCCAGAUCA